GCCGGGCAUAGUGGCGCAUACCUGUAAUCCCAGCAGUUUAGGAGGCUGAGGCAGGAACAUCAAGAGUUCAAAGCCAGCCUCAGCAAUUUAGUGAGGCUCUAAGCAACUCAGUGAGACCCUGUCUCUA
rnacentral:sRNA from 1 species